GAUUCCCCUAGUAACUGCGAGUGAAGCGGGAAAAGCUCAAAUUUAAAAUCUGGUGGUCUUCGGCCAUCCGAGUUGUAAUCUAGAGAAGUGUUACCCGCGUCGGACCGUGUACAAGUCUCCUGGAAUGGAGCGUCAUAGAGGGUGAGAAUCCCGUCUUUGACACGGACUACCGAGGCUUUGUGGUGCGCUCUCAAAGAGUCGAGUUGUUUGGGAAUGCAGCUCAAAAUGGGUGGUAAAUUCCAUCUAAAGCUAAAUAUUGGCGAGAGACCGAUAGCGAACAAGUACCGUGAGGGAAAGAUGAAAAGAACUUUGGAAAGAGAGUUAAACAGUACGUGAAAUUGCUGAAAGGGAAACGCUUGAAGUCAGUCGCGUUGGCCGGAAAUCAGCCUUGCUUUAGUGAGGUGUACUUUCUGGUUGACGGGCCAGCAUCAGUUUUGACCGGUGGAAAAAGUCGAGAGGAAGGUGGCAUCUUCGGGUGUGUUAUAGCCUCUCGUCGUAUACAUCGGUUGGGACUGAGGAACGCAGUACUUGUACUUCGGAUGCUGGCAUAAUGGCUUUAAUCGACCCGUCUUGAAACACGGACCAAGGAGUCUAACAUGCCUGCGAGUAUUUGGGUGGAAAACCCGAGUGCGUAAUGAAAGUGAAAGUUGAGAUCCCUGUCGCGGGGAGCAUCGACGCCCGAACCUGAAGUUCUCUGACGGUUCUGCGGUAGAGCAUGUAUGUUGGNNCCCGAAAGAUGGUGAACUAUGCCUGAAUAGGGUGAAGCCAGAGGAAACUCUGGUGGAGGCUCGUAGC
rnacentral:rRNA from 1 species